rnacentral:rRNA from 1 species
CCUACGGGUGGCAGCAGUGAGGAAUAUUGGUCAAUGGACGAGAGUCUGAACCAGCCAAGCAGCGUGAAGGAUGACUGCCCUAUGGGUUGUAAACUUCUUUUAUAUGGGAAUAAAACGUUCCACGUGUGGGAUUUUGUAUGUACCAUAUGAAUAAGGAUCGGCUAACUCCGUGCCAGCAGCCGCGGUAAUACGGAGGAUCCGAGCGUUAUCCGGUUUUAUUGGGUUUAAAGGGAGCGUAGGUGGAUUGGUAAGUCAGUUGUGAAAGUUUGCGGCUCAACCGUAGAAUUGCAGUUGAAACUGGCAGUCUAGAGUACAGUAGAGGUGAGCGGAAUUCGUGGUGUAGCGGUGAAAUGCUUAGAUAUCACGAAGAACUCCGAUUGCGAAGGCAGUUCACUGGACUGCAACUGACGCUGAGGCUCGAAAGUGUGGGUAUCAAACAGGAUUAGAUACCCCGGUAGUC